CCUACGGGGGGCAGCAGUGAGGAAUAUUGGUCAAUGGACGAGAGUCUGAACCAGCCAAGUAGCGUGAAGGAUGACUGCCCUAUGGGUUGUAAACUUCUUUUAUAUGGGAAUAAAAUGUUCCACGUGUGGGAUUUUGUAUGUACCAUAUGAAUAAGUAUCGGCUAACUCCGUGCCAGCAGCCGCGGUAAUACGGAGGAUCCGAGCGUGAUCCGGAUUUAUUGGGUUUAAAGGGAGCGUAGGUGGAUUGUUAAGUCAGUUGUGAAAGUUUGCGGCUCAACCGUAAAAUUGCAGUUGAAACUGGCAGUCUUGAGUACAGUAGAGGUGGGCGGAAUUCGUGGUGUAGCGGUGAAAUGCUUAGAUAUCACGAAGAACUCCGAUUGCGAAGGCAGUUCACUGGACUGCAACUGACACUGAGGCUCGAAAGUGUGGGUAUCAAACAGGAUUAGAUACCCCUGUAGUC
rnacentral:rRNA from 1 species